ACUUUCAGCAACGGAUCUCUUGGCUCUCGCAUCGAUGAAGAACGCAGCGAAAUGCGAUAAGUAAUGUGAAUUGCAGAAUUCAGUGAAUCAUCGAAUCUUUGAACGCACCUUGCGCCCCUUGGUAUUCCGAGGGGCAUGCC
rnacentral:rRNA from 2 species